UCGAUGGUGAGCACCAGCUUCCGCCAGGGCCUUGGCGGCGGCGGCGGCGGCGACUUUUGAGUGCGGUAAACGUCUUCUAAGUUGGCUGCCGGAUCGCGCGGGGCCGAGCGUGGAGGGGCGCGAUGUCCGAGAAAAAGCAGCCGGUGGACUUGGGUCUCCUGGAGGAGGACGACGAGUUCGAGGAGUUUCCUGCCGAAGAUUGGGCUGGUUUGGAUGAAGAUGAAGAUGCACAUGUCUGGGAGGAUAACUGGGAUGAUGACAAUGUAGAAGAUGACUUCUCCAAUCAGUUAAGAGCUGAACUAGAGAAACAUGGUUAUAAGAUGGAGACUUCAUAGCAUCUAGGAGAAAUAUUGAAGUAAACUUUUAACUGCACACUAAAUUCUAGAACAAACCAGGAUGGGAUAUUUCUAAAAAUAUGCAUAUUUCAUUAUCUGUUUGGAUUUGUUUUUGUAACAAAAAAUAAACAUUUCGAUGUAAUCUUGCUUUGG